UCCCCACGCGGUGAUCUGAAACGAGAAAGCAUGCAGCUGGUAUGGACGUCCGACCAUCUUGCCACGUUUCUCUUCCCCACCUCCUUCAUCCUUCCGCCUCACGGUACGUCCCCACGCGAUCCACUUUUCCUCUCUUCAAUCAAUCAACGCCCCUUCCUUGCGCCUAAAAGCCAAAUUCCUCUCCCCUUUUUUAUCUUUCGCUCAUUUUUAUUUUUAUUUUUAUUUUUAUUUUUAUCGAUCUUAACGGCUGCUCCCGUCCCUCACGGAAGACCUGUCCCCCAAUUUAAUAUCCGCC
rnacentral:lncRNA from 1 species